AACGAACGCUGGCGGCAGGCUUAACACAUGCAAGUCGAACGCCCCGCAAGGGGAGUGGCAGACGGGUGAGUAACGCGUGGGAACAUACCCUUUUCUACGGAAUAGCUCUGGGAAACUGGAAUUAAUACCGUAUACGCCCUACGGGGGAAAGAUUUAUCGGGGAAGGAUUGGCCCGCGUUGGAUUAGCUAGUUGGUGGGGUAAAGGCCUACCAAGGCGACGUUCCAUAGCUGGUCUGAGAGGAUGAUCAGCCACAUUGGGACUGAGACACGGCCCAAACUCCUACGGGAGGCAGCAGUGGGGAAUAUUGGACAAUGGGCGCAAGCCUGAUCCAGCCAUGCCGCGUGAGUGAUGAAGGCCUUAGGGUUGUAAAGCCCUUUCACCGAUGAAGAUAAUGACGGUAGUCGGAGAAGAAGCCCCGGCUAACUUCGUG
rnacentral:rRNA from 1 species